AAAAAAUGCUUGUCAAAAAAAAAAAAAAAAACAAUUCAAUUAUUUUUGCAGAAAUUGUUUGGAAUUUUAUGUUUCCCAACACAAAAAGAUCGAAAAACAUUUUUAAAAAAUGGAUGUUCCUAUCUUUCGAAAUGGACCAACCCAACAGAAACAUCAUGGCUCCAUGUACUAACUUGUCCAAUGAACUAUGUCGCUUGAAUUAAUAACAUCAUGAUAACAAAGGGUCCUAUCAUCGAAAGACAAUACAGAACGUGUUGUCAUCAACAUCAAUAAUUCCCAGUACCAGCAGCAGAAAUUCAAUUCAAGUUCUGCAGAAUGAAGAGUGCCUCAAAAUGACUUUCUACACAUGCCCCCCAAUCAGGGUGAUGAUAUGUUUCAUGGAUGGACGAUGCUUACGACGGCUACAGCAACAGCAUUAGACACUACGGAUGAUACCGUAAACGA